UGGAAUAAAGUCGUAACAAGGUCUCCGUAGGUGAACCUGCGGAGGGAUCAUUAC
rnacentral:rRNA from 1 species